rnacentral:rRNA from 1 species
UAGGGAAUCUUCGGCAAUGGACGAAAGUCUGACCGAGCAACGCCGCGUGAGUGAAGAAGGUUUUCGGAUCGUAAAACUCUGUUGUUAGAGAAGAACAAGGACGUUAGUAACUGAACGUCCCCUGACGGUAUCUAACCAGAAAGCCACGGCUAACUACGUGCCAGCAGCCGCGGUAAUACGUAGGUGGCAAGCGUUGUCCGGAUUUAUUGGGCGUAAAGCGAGCGCAGGCGGUUUCUUAAGUCUGAUGUGAAAGCCCCCGGCUCAACCGGGGAGGGUCAUUGGAAACUGGGAGACUUGAGGGCAGAAGAGGAGAGUGGAAUUCCAUGUGUAGCGGUGAAAUGCGUAGAUAUAUGGAGGAACACCAGUGGCGAAGGCGGCUCUCUGGUCUGUAACUGACGAUGAGGCUCGAAAGCGUGGGGAGCAAACAGG